GCGAGGGGAAAAGGGGUCAUUGUUCGCGCAGUGGCCCGGGCGCCGAGGCGCGUCCCUCCCCGCGCGGCGGCCCCCGGGCCUGGAGCGGCCGACAGGAAGGCCGCGGCCGGGAGGCCCCCUGGAGGCCUGCUGGGAAAUGGCGGCAGGAACGGCCGGUGCGUCGGUCCCUUAAGGGAGGCUGCCCUGAGACAGGGGUUCGGGACGAACUUGUUCCCUAGGAGAAGCCCAUCGUGGGCCCAGAGUACCCGGGAAGGUGUGUCCCUCCUCCAAGGUUCGGAUCGCGACUCCGUGAGGUGACAACUCCACACACCCACCUUUUCCGUCCAGCGCCCUGGAAGCUCUCAGACGCGUAGGCCGCGAGCCACUCCUAUUGUUAAGAGGGCCUGCCUCAAAUAGCUCGAGCACAGAAACCUCUCAAAACCAAGCGGGGCGCGGGGUUAAAAGCCCAAGGAUUUUAACUCUGUCUGGGGCUGCUUGUCAUCUGUAUGAAGUUCUCCAGAGGCAUCUUAGCCCAUCCUACAAUUCAGGAUAACCCGAAAUAGAGAAGACAGUGAGGGGAAUAGGACACACAAAACGCUGCUGGAUGAGAUCGAUUAUGGUGAUCAUACUUCUACAGAUGUACUGUCUCCAAACUCCAGCAAUGUUCCAGAUGUUGCUCCUGAGUCCUUGAAUCAGCCUGAGUCCUUGAAUAAGACAGCAGAGCAGAGCCUCCAGCCAACACACAACAGAUGCAUAUUAUAGACAAAGGCUAACACCUUGAGUGGAAGCAAAGGAGGAAAGAACCUCCCUGCUUGAGAAGAGGAGAGGAAAUACUUAAUUGAUCCCAAAGCAGACAAGGACAGACAGAGAAGAGAAGAAAGGAGGACCCAACAAGAUGAUAUCAGAGCAUUGCACAUCAUGACUCCCCACUUUGAUUCUCUCCAAACCUCGGU